AUGUGCGUCGUGGUUGUGCGCGAGCGAUUUCAGGCGCGAUCUCCGUCGCUGUUGGUGUUGCGCCGUGACUAUGACCGGAGUUUUAAAGGCGCGGUUGUAUUCGAUCCAUUUUUCGUUUGUUCUUCCUUUUUUGAUUUGUUCCUGCAAAAGCAAAACUCUGUACAAGUUGUUAUAUUAAUGAAUUUGUUGUUGGAUGGCUUGUACUAUUGUUAA